AUCAACAAGACCAGCAGGAAAGGAAGAGGAGUACCAGAGUGAGAAGAGAACCGGGUUGGACCAGAGACUACAAGAUGACAUAAGGCCAAUGGUUAAAGAAUUAGUUAGUGGACAGAGAGAGUUAGUUGAGUAAUUGUAAAGAAUUUGUUAGUGGACACAGAGAGUUAGUUGAGUAGAAUAAAUAAUGGAUUCUUCAAUUUGUUAAAGAGUAAAUAGAGACAUUGUAUGAGAGGACAGAUAUGCAAGAAAUAAACAAUUCUUCUUCUCCAGACCUCUUAGGAGUUCACUGAAACUCGAAUUCAGUUUUUUACUUUUCCCAAUCUUCUUCGUUCAUAACAAAUUGGUGCUUUCAUUCUUGUUUCCAUGGUCGACGGUACCCGUGCGAGGUUUGAUGACCAAAGCAGGAGUAUGCAGGCCAGCCAUAAUUAGUACAAGAAAGACACUGAUGCGAAGCUUGAUGAGAUUAUUGAAUCUUUGAAAAGCUUGCAGACAUUGUUUAUGGAGGCAUUAAAUCACAAGGAUGCGAUAUUUCAAAGGGAUACGCCUCACGCAGGUGGACAGUGAGGGAACUCUGCUCUCCAAGGGUAUGCAAAUCAAUCCACGUUUCUUACGUCUAGAAGUUCCAAGGUUCGAUGGCACCGAUGUCACUGGUUGGAUCUUCAAGAUUCAACAAUUUUUUGAUUUCCAUAAUACUUCUAAAGAACAACGAUUGUUGAUUACUUCCUUUCAUCUUGAUGGUGUGGCUCUCAGUAGGUACCAGUGGAUGCACUCCAGUGGUCUGAUUCAACGUUGGAAAGGGUUUUUACAGGUAGUAUCGAUUCGAUUUGGUCCUUCAAUUUUUUAAGAUCAUCGAGGCGCCUUAGUUCGAUUACAACAAACAUCUACAUUUUCUUUACAUCAAGAUCAAUUUGAAAAGUUGUCUACCAAAGUUGCUGGUUUGUCUGAGAUCUUCUUGAUUAGUAUCUUUAUUUCUGGGUUAAAACCGGAGCUACGCAGAGAGCUUUUGGUCGCUCAACCAGUUUCACUUUUACAUGCGAUGAGUUUGGCGAACCUCUAUGAACAGAAAUAUUUGGAUCUUCGGCAUUCUUGGACGCCAUCCUGGUCGAAACAAUCUGUGACCACUCCUCGGGUUUUGGGGCCUCCACCACCUGUGUCUAAAUCUUUGCAAGCAUUACCAAGUCCAAUGGUGACUAAACAACUUCCUAUCAAACGACUCUCCCCUGCUGAACUUACUGCUAGAAGGGAAAAGGUCUUUGUUAUAAUUGAAUUGAGAAAUAUGCCCCAGGUCAUAAAUGUAAGCAACGAUUCUUGCUAUUAGUAGGUGACUCUGUGGAAGAGGAAGUAGAUACAGAAACUGUAGAAAUUGCAGACACAGCCUUCGAUAAUGUUCCAUUGCACGAGAUCAGCCUGCAUGCCUUUGUUGGGCAACUCAAUCCCAGAACAAUCAGAUUGAAAGGAAUCUGUGGAGUAUCAAGGCCACAUAGUUUCCAGCUUGGGUGUCCAAGUCGACAGUACUAAAAUCAGUGUAAUGUUAUAAUGGCCAACAUCGCAAACUCUUAAGCAUCUGAGGGGCUUUUUGGGACUCACUGGAUACUACAGAAAAUUCAUUCGACACUAUACUACUAUUGCAGCACCUUUAACUGAUCUACUUAAGACGGAUGCCUUUUAUUGGUCUGAGGUCGCUCAACAAGCCUUUAAUGAUCUGAAACAGAAGAUGACUUUAGCACCAGUUUUGGCCUUGCCAAGCUUUGCAUUAGAUUUUGAGGUAGAAACUGAUGCUUCAGGGAUAGGGAUUGGUGCUGUUCUCAGUCAGGAAGGUCAUCCAUUAGCAUUUUUCAGUAAAAAGCUUUACCCAAGGAUGAGGACAACUUCAACUUAUGUUCGAGAGCUCUUUGCUAUUUCUGCGGCAGUUUUGAAGUGGCGACAUUAUUUGUUAGGGAGGACAUUUCUUAUUAAGACUGAUCACAGAAGUUUGAAGGAGUUGAUGAACCAAGUCAUACAGACUCCUGAGCAAUAUCACUACCUCAGCAAAUUGAUGGGCUAUACUUAUAAAAUUGUGUAUCGUCCUGGGAAAGAAAAUGUUGCAGUAGACGCUCUCUCCAGAGUACCUGAACUACCAGAGGAGGUUUCUCCAACAAUUGCUUUCAACACCUCAAUUUGACAUUGUUGACACCCUAUUAGAGACUAAUUCGAGGGAUCCAGAGUUACAACACCUCCAUCGACAGUUGCAUGACGAAUCAUUGGCUAAUUCUGGGUAUGAAGUGAAGGGAGGUUUACUCUAUUAUAAGAAUAGAGUGGUGCUUAGUUCCACUUCUGACCUAAAGCAUACUAUCUUGCGGGAAUUUCAUUCCAGUCCUUUAGGUGGCCAUGCCGGAUCUUUACGUACCUAUAAGAGAGCGGCAGCAAGUUUCUCUUGGCCAGCUAUGCUCAAGGAUGUGAUUGAAUUUGUGAGAAAUUGUGUAAUCUGUCAGCAAACUAAGUCUCUUACCACAAGGCCUGCUGGAUUGCUGCAACCUUUUCCUAUGCCUCAACAGGUUUAGGAAGAUAUUUCAUUAGAUUUCAUCACGGGUUGACCUGUAUCACAAGGUUAUUCCGUAAUUCUGGUAGUGGUGGAUAGGCUUUCCAAGUAUGCACAUUUUGGAGGCUUACCAUCUUCUUAUAAUGCUCCGAAGGUUGCUCAAUUAUUUACCCAAAUGGUGGUCAAGUUAUAUGGUUUCCCUCGAUCAAUUGUGUCUGAUUGGGAUGCCAUAUUUCUCAGCCAUUUUGGCAAGAACUUUUUAAACUCAGUAGUACUACUCUAAGUUUGAGCACUGCUUACCACCCGCAAACUGAUGGGCAGACUGAGGUACUAAACAAGUGUUUGGAGCAGUAUCUAUGUUGUUUUGUUCAUGAGAAACCUACUCAGUGGUCCAAGUUUUUAAGAUGGGCUGAGUUAAGGUAUAAUACCUCUCAUCAUACUUCCAUUGCGAUGUCCCCUUUCCAAGCUCUUUAUGGCAGAUUACCCCUUACACUUCCAGAUUAUAUUGCAGGUGAUACUUGAGUUGAAGCUGUGGAACAUGAGCUUAGCGACAGAACUGAACUCCUCCAUCAUCUCAAGACUAAUCUUAUGAAGGUUCAGGUAACAAUGAAGUCUACUGCUGAUGGACAUAGACACGACUUGCAAUUCCGUGAGGGGGAAUGGUCUUACUCAAGUUACAGCGAUAUAGACAACAGACUGUAGCUUACCGAUCAACUCAAAAGCUUAGCAGACGUUUUUAUGGACCAUUUCAGGUAAUCAAGAGGGUGGGUAUGGUUGCAUACUGUCUUCAAUUACCACCAGGAAGUAGAAUUCAUCCUGUCUUCCAUGUAUCUCUGCUUCGUCCAUUUCAUUGUGAUCCUCACGCUGUUCUUGAAAGUCCUCUGCCAGCUUUGAGUUAUCAUCAACAGCCUAUUCGCAGUCCUUUAGCUGUUCUGGAAACUAGAGAAAUUAUCCAACAAGGCCACAUAGUUCCUCAGAUCCUGAUUCAAUGGGAGGGCCUAGCUGUGGAAGAUGCAACCUGGGAGGAUUUUCAACCUUUUACUGCAAGAUUUCCUGACCUCAACCUUGAGGACAAGGUUGUUUUUGAUGGGGUAGAUAAUGGAAUGAAUAGCCCUAUAGUCUUAGAACAUCAACAAAUUAUUGACACUAUCAAUAAGGAAUUGGAUGAAAAGCCCAAUGUCCAUUCCAAUACUGUUACUACAGAUCAACAAGACCAGCAGGAAAGGAAGAGGAGUACCAGAGUGAGAAGAGAACCGGGUUGGACCAGAGACUACAAGAUGACAUAAGGCCAAUGGUUAAAGAAUUAGUUAGUGGACAGAGAGAGUUAGUUGAGUAAUUGUAAAGAAUUAGUUAGUGGACAGAGAGAGUUAGUUGAGUAAUUGUAAAGAAUUUGUUAAUGGACACAGAGAGUUAGUUGAGUAGAAUGAAUAAUGGAUUCUUCAAUUUGUUAAAGAGUAUAAAUACAGACAUUGUAUGGGAGGACAGAUAUGCAAGAAAUAAACAAUUCUUCUUCUCCAGCCCUUUUAGGAGUUCACUGAAA